GAGAGGCAAGCAGAGAAAUAUACAGAGGGAGAGAAAGAGACAGACAGGCAGGGAGAAAGACAGACAGAUAGAUGCGCAUAGCUUAAACCGAGGUUCAUCCAUACUGAAGAAACUCCAAUUUUUGAUAAAGGGUAACCGAGUAGAUGCACAAAAUGUAAUGCACCCAGCUGGAACCUCUAUUGCUCAAAAUCAUAUUGAGAGAAGUCAAGCUCCAAGUCUUCAGAGACAACCAAUUGAAGCCUAGAUCUGUAUGCCAUU